CACGUAGGAGGCGAGCGUUGUCCGGAAUCAUUGGGCGUAAAGAGCGCGCAGGCGGCUUGGCAAGUCGGGUGUGAAAUCCCGGGGCUCAACCCCGUGACUGCAUUCGAUACUGUCAGGCUAGAGGUAGGUAGGGGAGAUCGGAAUUCCAGGUGUAGCGGUGAAAUGCGUAGAUAUCUGGAGGAACACCGGUGGCGAAGGCGGCGUCCUGGACCAACACUGACACUGAUGAGCGAAAGCCAGGGGAGCAAACGGG
rnacentral:rRNA from 1 species